UCGAACCGCUAGGGGAGUUUCGGCUGAGAGCCCGUCUGUGAUGCCGUUCGGACCGCGCCCGGAUAACAGGGAAUAACGCGGCACGGAGCGGCAGGGCGACCCUUCGAACCUGAUCCGGGUAAUACCGGCGUAGGGAAGCGAUAGAACAUGGAU
rnacentral:ncRNA from 2 species